AGGGAUUUAGGAUAGAGCCAGACCAGGGGCCUUCAAAGCCCCCAGCAAGGGUGAGAACCCCUUAAUCCCUG
rnacentral:tRNA from 1 species